UUGGCCUGAGUCAGUUCUAGUCCCCUUUAUAUAUUAUUUUAAAAUAGUAUAUAGCAGUGCUGUUCUAUAGAAAUAGAAUAUGAACUACAUUUGUAAUUUUAAAUUGUCUAGUCUUCUCACUUCAAAAAGUAAAAAGAAAUAGUGAAAUUAAAUAAUUUUUAAUCCCAAUAUAUCCAAAUUAUCAUUUCAACAUGUAAUUGAUAUAAAGAAUUGCCAAAGAGACUUUUUAUAUUCUUUUUUGCAUACUGUCUUCCAAAUAGGGUGUGUAGUUUAUACUUAGAGUACAUCACAACUCCAGCCAGCCAUAUUUCAGGUGUUCAGUAGCCUCUUGGGCGUGGUGAAUACCAAAUCGGUCAGAGCAGGUGUAUAGAGGAGGCUAGACAUGGCGAUCAAAAGUGCAGCCUGCAAUCCAGAUGCUUGAGUUUGAAUAUUGGCCUCAUCACCUUAGCUGUAUGACCUCAUCUGUAAAACAAGAAUACUUAAGUAAUACCAUCCUUAAGCCGUUGGUAUGAGGAUAAAAUAAAAUAGUCCUUGUAAGGCUUUUUGCAAGAAUUCUGGCAAAUAUUGUGCUUAAUAAAUGUUAGCUAGGGUGGUCACUUUAUAAUGCAUGAGCUCUAUACUUAAAAACAUAUGUGGUCCUGAACAAGUUAUCUUACCUCUUUGAAUAUUAGUUUCCUUCUCUGUAAAACAGGGGUGAUAAUAAUACUUCAUUGAGAAGAUUAACUGGUACAAACAUAGCACUUAAUAAAUGUUCGUUUCUUUCUCCUUGACUUUAGGUGCCAAUGAACAGAGAAAUAGCCAAAGGGCUCGCUGAGUGGGAGCAGAGGUAAAUGGGCCUGGAUAAUUGGAAAACUGGAUAGUCACGAGGUUAACUAUGCCACAGGCAAGAAUCCAGAUGGUUCCAACCUACCUCAGCCAGUGUGAGAAUGCCCAGUAGAUGUGUUUCUUUUGUAGUUCCUUUACUAGAAGCUUUAUAAGAGCAGGCAUGUUCACUGUUUCACAGGCUAAUAGAAAUAAAGUAUGUAUGUGCAUCUUAUGUAACAUAUCCCUACGUAUGUAUGCUGAAUUCAGUAGGCAGCCAUGUUCAGUAUUUUAGAGCUGUAGCCAUCACUCAACUCCCUUGUGUUGAUAAGAAGAAACAUUCGGGGAAAAGAAGACCUAUUUGUUUAUUGUAAGAUUCAAAAUCUCUAAGGGUAAUGGCCUUUAUUUCUUUCCUACUCAGAAGUUUGUUUUUCCCUAUUUAAUAGCUCGAUUGAUUUGUUCAGAGUUUUGAAAUUACCAGGGAAGAGCUUUUGAGGAUGUUUGAGAUCCAUGAUUCAAAACAGGGAGGGACACAUGAGUGGCAGGUGACAUCAGAAGCCACCAGCCAUUCCUCAAAUUGCCAGCUCUGGAGCCCUCCAUCCUGCACUAGAAGGAGAUACUGCAAACCCUGCCAAGGUGUUCAUGCUUCUCGUGCUUUAACAUUUCAAAAAGCUCAAUUCCCAAAGACAGUGAAACUGCCACGAAAAACAAAAUGAACUCUGGAUGACAAGGAGGCCCAGUCAUUUCUCCUAUCAAUGGAAAGGGCAAUUUUGAUCAGAGACAAAUAGUACUUGAUUUUACCUAUAGGGACUUAUGACUUAUUCACAGCUCUGACUCCUCUUCUCCACAGGAAUUCAAUAAUGUAAACCUAAUAAUAAAAAAUGACAUAAAAUGAAUGUAAUGAGAACACCCUAAAACUAGUUUCCCUCCUGGCCUAUCUCCAUGUUGCAUCUUUCAGAAAGUGUCAGAAACGAGACUUAAACAAACAAAUAAAAAAAAAAACCCCAAACCAGAACCUAAUGCUGAUGUGAUCGUUUAAAUAAACUAAACACAACUGGAUAAGGAAGCUGUUUUACAAAAAUAAAAAUAGAAAAAAAUUUCUUGACAAGAGGCAUGGAUUAUUCAGGAUCCCUGUGUUAUUCUAAUUGUUUCAGUGCUAUUAGGUGCAUUUUAGGGGAAUGUGGCCCUGAUGGAUAAAUGCACCUUUAAUUCAUUUCUAAGGCAGUGAUGUGAGAUAUAAGACUUUUUUGGGUAGGCACAACCCCAAAAAUGUCAUGUAAAUCUUGAAAAGUUUUUCAUCCAAAAACCCCAAAGGGUUUACUCAUCUCAACAUCUGCAUUUGAUAGGCAGAGGGAGAAGAAUGACUACAAGAGGAAGAUUAUCUGAGAUUAAAACUGGAGACCUCCUAGAGGCUGGGCUCCCAUAGGCACCCUGGCCCAGACCACAGCAGGGAGGGAAUUCCUCCAUUCUGCCUUUGUGCCUCAUCUCCUGAGUUAGAGAUGGUAGCUUAGUUUCCUUUCUUGGUUCCCUUCUGUAUUCCUUACAGAUAAAGAGAUGUUCAAUACACAUGUGUUGGCAGAAUGGCCUCCAUUUUAUAAGAGUGGAGGUGACUUAGCAGGACACAUGCUAUUUAUACAAACAGAAGAACCUAGCAGCACAAACAUGAGUAGGGAUCUCUUUAUUACUGCUCCUGGAGGUGGAUUUAUAGUGAAGUGAAUGAGGGCCCCUCAUGGGCGCAGACUGCUUCCAAGGCCUGGAACCUAACUUUUCAUUUGCAAUUGUGUGUUAUUUUUCUUGAAAAAAGUUUUCAAAUUGCAUGAGUUUCAGGCCUCACAAAACUUGAAUCUGCUGUGGAUUGCUCUUAAAAGCGGUAUACAAACGCCAUCUUGGAUUUUUCACCUGUCAUUAUUUUAACUCCUAGUCAUCCAAAGCAAAUAUAAAUCAAUUAGUUUUGUAGCCAUGGACAAACGAGGCCUGGGUUUCCUCAUUUCUGAAAAUGAAAGGUGAUUGAAUAUGAUUCCUCAGAUCCCAAAAGAGAGCAAUGUAGGGAAGGAGGGCACAGUGAGAAACAGAAGGAGGCAAAGGCUAGGACACCCUGGUGCUGGCUACACUACUAAUAGCUGGCGUAUGACCUUCAGUGAAGAACUUUACCUCUCAGGGCCUCAUUUUCUCUACUAUGAAAUGAGGCAGGCAGACAAGACAUUCUCUAAGGUCCCAUCUUGUCCCAUGAUUCCAGUGCCCUGACUUGUGCAGUGUGUCACCUCUCAUGGCCACUCUCACUGGGUGCUCACAGUAGCCCUGAGACUAGUCAGUGGAACACUCUGGUGAGCUUCAGAAUUCAAAUUCAGUGCUCUUCUUACUAUACCACAUGGGAGAUAUUUUCCAGCUAAACCGUAAACAAGGCUAAUAUCAUUGGUUUGAUGGCCUUCAAAUAUGCACUGUUGUCAUGCCGAGUCAAAGAUGAUAGUCUGACAUAAACCAGCGUUGCAGUGUAGAUGUGGCGAAUGACAAGGGAGUGGCUCCUUUCCCACAAGAGGCACUGGACUUGAAGCUGCAGCUGGUACAGCCCAUCUGCAGGGAAAUGCCAUUUUCUUCUCAUGCCUCUGUUCAAAACUUGAGUCCCACUGCUUACAGCUAGACAAUCAU
rnacentral:lncRNA from 10 species